GCCGCGAGGUAGAGCAAAUCUCAAAAAAACAAUCUCAGUUCAGACUGCAGGCUGCAACUCGCCUGCACGAAGUCGGAAUUGCUAGUAAUCGUAGGUCAGCAUACUACGGUGAAUACGUUCCCGGGCCUUGUACACACCGCCCGUCACACCACGGAAGUUGGGGGCGCCCGAAGCCACUUAGCUAACCCUUUUGGGAAGCGAGUGUCGAAGGUGAAAUCAAUAACUGGGGUGAAGUCGUAACAAGGUAAC
rnacentral:rRNA from 1 species